AACACCAUUCCCCACGACCGCCGUCACAGCCCGUGCUCGCCGCCGAAGGUCCCACCACCGGAGAGCUCCCUCCUCUUGCCCUGGCAGGAAGGUCCUGGGCCCCGGCUCCAUACACCCGGCAGGGGAGCGCCAGGGACACGGAGACCAGAGUCCCGGGUCCACACUGACGGCCAGCUAGUGUUGGGGCCCGUGGGUGGGUGAGUAUCUUUUCGUACACGAAGCCUAACGCAAUUGUGCGCAUGAAAGGCCACCAGCAGAGAAGCUGCCUCGAAGAGCACUGAGGAGCAAGAUGGGCGCGGUGGGUGUCUUCUGCAGGAGUUGGAGGAAAUGGAAUCAGCAAGAGUUUGUGUGGUAAAAAGUAAACAAACCUGUCAGAAGUGGGAUUCGAACCCACGCCUCCAGAGGAGACUGCGACCUUAACGCAGCGCCUUAGACCGCUCGGCCAUCCUGACAGUACAAGCACUCCUGUGUUUGCUCACCUCCCUGAUAUGGGCAUUCCAUGCCUGUUCCUUCGUGGGUGUGAUGGGGCGCCUAGGCUCAUGGCAGUCUAUUAUGGCUUUCCUUCUUGUUUUAAAUAUCUGCUCCAAUAUCCUAUUUCACUGUAAAGGUUUAUGUUUGUUGGUAUGAGUCAGUGACAGUACCUGCAUACCAGACUCAGCAUCAUAAGAGAAAUAAAAUAGAUAAUAAUAUACACCCCUAAAUCUGCUGUCUGAUAAACUUUUUAAAAAAUAUCAUGUUGUUUAUUUUUAUGUGUCUGGUUGCUUAUUCUGUGUGCAUGGGU
rnacentral:tRNA from 1 species